GCAAACUGCGAAUACCGGAGAAUGUUAUCACGGGAGACACACGGCGGGUGCUAACGUCCGUCGUGAAGAGGGAAACAACCCAGACCGCCAGCUAAGGUCCCAAAGUCAUGGUUAAGUGGGAAACGAUGUGGGAAGGCCCAGACAGCCAGGAUGUUGGCUUAGAAGCAGCCAUCAUUUAAAGAAAGCGUAAUAGCUCACUGGUCGAGUCGGCCUGCGCGGAAGAUGUAACGGGGCUAAACCAUGCACCGAAGCUGCGGCAGCGACGCUUAUGCGUUGUUGGGUAGGGGAGCGUUCUGUAAGCCUGCGAAGGUGGCCUGUGAGGGUUGCUGGAGGUAUCAGAAGUGCGAAUGCUGACAUAAGUAACGAUAAAGCGGGUGAAAAGCCCGCUCGCCGGAAGACCAAGGGUUCCUGUCCAACGUUAAUCGGGGCAGGGUGAGUCGACCCCUAAGGCGAGGCCGAAAGGCGUAGUCGAUGGGAAACGGGUUAAUAUUCCCGUACUUGGUGUUACUGCGAAGGGGGGACGGAGAAGGCUAUGUUGGCCGGGCGACGGUUGUCCCGGUUUAAGCGUGUAGGCUGGUUUUCCAGGCAAAUCCGGAAAAUCAAGGCUGAGGCGUGAUGACGAGGCACUACGGUGCUGAAGCAACAAAUGCCCUGCUUCCAGGAAAAGCCUCUAAGCAUCAGGUAACAUCAAAUCGUACCCCAAACCGACACAGGUGGUCAGGUAGAGAAUACCAAGGCGCUUGAGAGAACUCGGGUGAAGGAACUAGGCAAAAUGGUGCCGUAACUUCGGGAGAAGGCACGCUGACACGUAGGUGAAGUGAUUUACUCACGGAGCUGAAGUCAGUCGAAGAUACCAGCUGGCUGCAACUGUUUAUUAAAAACACAGCACUGUGCAAACACGAAAGUGGACGUAUACGGUGUGACGCCUGCCCGGUGCCGGAAGGUUAAUUGAUGGGGUCAGCGCAAGCGAAGCUCCUGAUCGAAGCCCCGGUAAACGGCGGCCGUAACUAUAACGGUCCUAAGGUAGCGAAAUUCCUUGUCGGGUAAGUUCCGACCUGCACGAAUGGCGUAAUGAUGGCCAGGCUGUCUCCACCCGAGACUCAGUGAAAUUGAACUCGCUGUGAAGAUGCAGUGUACCCGCGGCAAGACGGAAAGACCCCGUGAACCUUUACUAUAGCUUGACACUGAACAUUGAGCCUUGAUGUGUAGGAUAGGUGGGAGGCUUUGAAGCGUGGACGCCAGUCUGCGUGGAGCCGACCUUGAAAUACCACCCUUUAAUGUUUGAUGUUCUAACGUGGACCCGUUACCCGGGUUGCGGACAGUGUCUGGUGGGUAGUUUGACUGGGGCGGUCUCCUCCUAAAGAGUAACGGAGGAGCACGAAGGUUGGCUAAUCCUGGUCGGACAUCAGGAGGUUAGUGCAAUGGCAUAAGCCAGCUUGACUGCGAGCGUGACGGCGCGAGCAGGUGCGAAAGCAGGUCAUAGUGAUCCGGUGGUUCUGAAUGGAAGGGCCAUCGCUCAACGGAUAAAAGGUACUCCGGGGAUAACAGGCUGAUACCGCCCAAGAGUUCAUAUCGACGGCGGUGUUUGGCACCUCGAUGUCGGCUCAUCACAUCCUGGGGCUGAAGUAGGUCCCAAGGGUAUGGCUGUUCGCCAUUUAAAGUGGUACGCGAGCUGGGUUUAGAACGUCGUGAGACAGUUCGGUCCCUAUCUGCCGUGGGCGCUGGAGAACUGAGGGGGGCUGCUCCUAGUACGAGAGGACCGGAGUGGACGCAUCACUGGUGUUCGGGUUGUCAUGCCAAUGGCACUGCCCGGUAGCUAAAUGCGGAAGAGAUAAGUGCUGAAAGCAUCUAAGCACGAAACUUGCCCCGAG
rnacentral:rRNA from 1 species